CCCGGCGCCGGUCCUUCGCGUCCGCGUCCGGCUGCCUCCGCGCCGCGCCUCCCCACCCACGCCCCGGUCGGCUGCCGCUCCGCUCCGCUCGGACGGCCGCCGCCCCGCUCGGGCUUCCGCCGCGCCCGUCACCUCGCCCGCUCGCGUCUCCGGCGCUGCUUCGGACGGCCGCUCGCCCGCUUGCCCACCGGCGCUGCCGGCCCCUGCCCCAACGGCCUCCACAGUCGUGCCGCCGGCCACUCGCCUACCCGCAGCGGCUAGAAUUGAGGAUGGAUGUCGAGGUCAUGCCUCGACAUGUCGCUAUGUCCAGUCUUCACCAAUGAUGAGGGUUUUCUCAACUCCUAACCAGUUUUGGUAUGCACCAAAGACAAACUCACCCCCCCCCCCCCCCCCCCUCCUUUGUUUCCACAUCAAGCGAUCAAUCUGGUAUGCAUCAGAGAUUUAAGCCCCUUCGAAUUGUAUGGAGGGUGAGGAUGUGGUGCCAUUGGAUGCUCAGUAUUUUGUAUAUUCCUGGUAUGUGAACUUCAUGUGUCCAGCUUGGAAUGAUAAGUGGAGAGACUCAUAUAUUCAUCUAGCCCGAGAUUUGAGUAAUAGCUAAAUCUUUGCGUGGCUCUUCGUUUCCUUUGUGCAAGGAUAUUUCUCUUUCUAGAUGGCCAGAAGGCUCUCGGGGAAGCUGACCAAGAGGGAGAUCAUGUGAUGAGCCCUUCAAAUGCAUAGAUUUCAGAUGUCAAGGCCUCGGUGACGGGCUCCAGAAAAAUGUGGUGCCACAACUCCCGCUCAGCAUCCUCUUCCUUUCCUAUGACCCAUGCCGAGUGGUAAAUAAUGUCCAGUGCAUAUGUGUCCGAUAGAGUAUCCAGGCCAUGAUCGAAUGUUCACUAGCCACCGUAAGUAUUUUAAUAGCAGGUUCAUGGAUGACCACAAGUCCACGACCUGCAUAUCUAUCUAAAUUUCUCUAUUUUUCUCACUGAAUCAUCAUGAGAUCAAAAAGAAAUGUGAGCCAUGCAUAUUAAUUAUAGGUCUAGCAAGGUAAUCAUACCAUUAAUUACCAAUACCUUUCGUUCUGGUGCUCUUCAAUUGUUCUUAGAUGAUACUUGCAGUAUGUGAUAGACAAGUGGAAAAGAGAAGAUUAUCUAGGGAAAAUAAAAACACUACGGGAUGUCAGUACAAUCCUGCAGAAGUACCGAUGGAUUGAGUCUCAGCAGUGCAGUCACUGCCAUCCUUGAAAAGGUUUGGAGUUUCUAUCGGUUGUGACCGUGUGAGUGUUACUAACAGUUCUAGAUCUUUGUUUGGAGCAUGCUGAUAUUUCGUUAAACUAUGAUGUUCUUCACUGAAUUUCUGUUAAACUUAGUUGGCUUCUUUGAACGUCGGUUCAACAAGUAUGCAAUUCAUGGUCGAUAUGUAUGUGGGCAUUUUUGUUCAGAAUAUGGUAAGUCCUGAUAAGUUAUACUGUUUUAAAAAAAAUCAUAUGCUCCCCUAUUCUCAAUAAUAGGUUACACAUCUGCUCUCCUAUUCUCAAUAAUGGGAUGUGUGCUUGCCAAAAUUAAACUGCCUUUUUAUGCAGUUUUCUCUCAUAUGAGUACACUUGCCAAAUUGCAUCUAUAAUAUAUAUAUACUCAUAGUCUUUCUUUUAGCUGUUGGUAAAACCUACUAUGGUCUGACCGUAAGAGAGAAUGAUGUACUGAAGUUUAGUCCUAAUGAACAUCGGUGUUCUUAAUUUGCAUGUAAAUUAAUCUACCACCACAAUAACUACCUUAAUAAUUUUUAGUCCAAUAUGUGUGAUUUAUGAUUUUAUAUGACUACUCGUAGUUCACGAGCCAUCCAUCUAAAGAAUUGUGUUUUUGCAGCAAGUUCUUUCUUCCCCUCUCUCUUCAAAGCAGAUUCAACUAUGGAGAAAUAGAUGUCAGUUGGGGAAAUGGUAGGGUGUUGGAUAAUCUACCGCAGGCCACACUGCCACCAUACCACGUGUGUCGCUACUGUUGUGAUGCUCUGCGCCCCGCGUGUCCAACUCUUAAUACCAUUCACAUUCGUCCAUCAUAUUGUGUUUGAAAGGAUGUCACCGUAUAGUAUAUACCCUUGAAUUUUAUUUUGCAAAAAGCUAAUGAUAAAAGCUUUUACAUUUAGAUUCUUGAAACUGCAUCUAAAAAGGAAACAUUUGGUCUUGUCACAAGGGAGCAGUAUGUCGAGAAGGUAUUAGGGAAUUUGUACACACAUCUAUAUCUGCUGGCACAUUUGUUGAAAAGCUGGGAUUUGUCACAUGAUUUAUCAUAUAUGUGCUUGAUCCGAGGGUUAACAUUCGUACCAAGAUUGAGGACGAAGAGAAAGGAAACAUACACGAAUUGCAACAAGAAGGAGAAGAAUUGCAAAUGCAGAAAAGGAAAAAGAGGAGAGGGAAGGGUGACCCACGCUAAUCUUUCUGUGACUAUUAUUGAGAAUGGAAGCGAUGAAGAUAAUUUUGAGAAUCAUAGGCUCUAUUGUUCCCCUACCUUAUUUACAGGUAGUAUUUCUCAAGCAGACUUGUGCCCUAUUGCAUUGACCAAGAUGGUGAGACCGCAGGAGACGGUGUAAAUUUUAAAUGUGGUGUAUCAAUGCCGCGUAGAUUGAUGUUGGGAUUAGUCUUGAUUUGUUCUGACACAACAAUGGUACAAUGUGAUGAGUUUUAAAAUUUAGCCAUUGUCCAUGGCAUAGCUCCAAAAA